UACGUAGGGGCCUAGCGUUGUCCGGAAUUAUUGGGCGUAAAGAGCUCGUAGGCGGUUCGGCAAGUCGGAUGUGAAAUCUCCACGCUUAACGUGGAGGGGGCAUUCGAAACUGCUGUGACUCGAGUCCGGUAGGGGAGUGUGGAAUUCCCGGUGUAGCGGUGAAAUGCGUAGAGAUCAGGAAGAACACCGGUGGCGAAAGCGCUCUGCUAGGCCGCAACUGACACUCAUGGACGAAAGCGAGGGGAGCGAAUGGG
rnacentral:rRNA from 1 species